AUACGGAGGGUGCAAGCGUUAUUCGGAAUCACUGGGCGUAAAGGACGCGUAGGCGGGUUGGCAAGUCAGAUGUGAAAUCCUACAGCUUAACUGUAGAACUGCAUUUGAAACUGCUAACCUAGAGUAUGGGAGGGGGAGAUGGAAUUUGUGGUGUAGGGGUAAAAUCCGUAGAUAUCACUAGGAAUACCGAAAGCGAAGGCGAUCUCCUGGAACAUAACUGACGCUAAGGCGUGAAAGCGUGGGGAGCAAACAGGAUUAGAUACCCUAGUAGUCC
rnacentral:rRNA from 1 species